ACUAUAAUUUGGCAGUAUAUUUUGAGAUCAUAGUUCUAUUUUUAUUGGCUUAUUUAAACAAAAUACGUAAUUGAUAAAAAUCCGUAGAAUAAUCCCUGAGUAAUGGCGUGGAGUUAUUUUUCUACAAAAUAUUAGCAUUUUGAAGAUGGGAUAGGUACAUCAUAUGUCUGUAAAAUGAUAUAAGAUAAAGCGAUUUCCAGUAUCAACAUCGGCAUAUUGCUUGAUAUUAUACGAUCAAAUUAUAACUUAUAUAUCCCUUUGAAAGCAAACAAUGCUGCAAAUCGAAUACGCCGUGCUGCAAGCCAAGUACAUCUUGCCGCAAUCCAAGUACACCAUG